GUCUACGGCCAUACCACCCUGAACAUGCCCGAUCUCAUCAGAUCUCGGAAGCUAAGCAGGGUCGGGCCUGCUUAGUACUUGGAUGGGAGAAAAUAAUAUUCCUUUGUAUCUAUGUGCGAUGGAGG
ensembl:rRNA 5S_rRNA 5S ribosomal RNA